UACGUAGGGCGCAAGCGUUAUCCGGAAUUAUUGGGCGUAAAGAGCUCGUAGGCGGUUUGUUGCGUCGGCUGUGAAAUCCCGAGGCUCAACCUCGGGUCUGCAGUCGAUACGAGCAAACUAGAGUGUUGCAGGGGGAGACUGGAAUUCCUGGUGUAGCGGUGAAAUGCGCAGAUAUCGGGGAAGAACACCCCGUGGCGAAGGCGGGCUCUCUGGGACGGUACUGACGCUGAGACGCGAAAAGCGUGGGGGAGCGAAACAGG
rnacentral:rRNA from 1 species